UACAGAGGGUGCAAGCGUUGUUCGGAAUUAUUGGGCGUAAAGCGCGUGUAGGCGGACUGGUGUGUCGGAUGUGAAAUCCCCCAGGCUCAACCUGGGAACUGCAUUCGAAACUGCCAGCCUUGAGUGGUGGAGAGGGAAGUGGAAUUCCUGGUGUAGAGGUGAAAUUCGUAGAUAUCAGGAGGAACACCGGUGGCGAAGGCGGGAUCCUGGGCCAGUACUGACGCUGAGGAGCGAAAGCGUGGGGAGCGAACAGG
rnacentral:rRNA from 1 species